rnacentral:rRNA from 1 species
AGCGAACGCUGGCGGCAGGCCUAACACAUGCAAGUCGAACGAAGUCUUCGGACUUAGUGGCGGACGGGUGAGUAACACGUGGGAACGUACCUUUUGGUUCGGAACAACUCAGGGAAACUUGAGCUAAUACCGGAUGAGCCCUUAGGGGGAAAGAUUUAUCGCCGAAAGAGCGGCCCGCGUUAGAUUAGCUGGUUGGUGAGGUAAAGGCUCACCAAGGCUACGAUCUAUAGCUGGUCUGAGAGGAUGAUCAGCCACACUGGGACUGAGACACGGCCCAGACUCCUACGGGAGGCAGCAGUGGGGAAUCUUGCGCAAUGGGCGAAAGCCUGACGCAGCCAUGCCGCGUGAAUGAUGAAGGUCUUAGGAUUGUAAAAUUCUUUUACCAGGGACGAUAAUGACGGUACCUGGAGAAAAAGCCCCGGCUAACUUCGUGCCAGCAGCCGCAGUAACAC